UAGGGAAUAUUGCGCAAUGGGGGAAACCCUGACGCAGCAACGCCGCGUGAGUGAGGAAGGUCUUCGGAUUGUAAAACUCUUUUAUUAGGGAAAAAUGUCUAGGUGGCUAAUAUCCACUUAGAGUGAUGGUACCUAAGGAAUAAGCACCGGCUAACUUCGUGCCAGCAGCCGCGGUAAUACGAAGGGUGCAAGCGUUGUUCGGAAUCAUUGGGCGUAAAGCGCGCGCAGGCGGGUCAGUAAGUCAGGUGUGAAAUCUCGGAGCUCAACUCCGAAACUGCGCCUGAAACUAUUGGUCUAGAGUAUCGGAGGGGACAGGGGAAUUUCACGUGUAGGGGUAAAAUCCGUAGAGAUGUGAAGGAACACCGGAGGCGAAGGCGCCUGUCUGGACGAUUACUGACGCUGAGGCGCGAAAGCGUGGGGAGCAAACAGG
rnacentral:rRNA from 1 species